rnacentral:rRNA from 2 species
UCUAGGCCCCGUCAGGAGCCCGAGUUGUAAUUUGGAGAGGACACUUCGGGGCUCAAAUUUGAAAUCUGGCACCGUUAGGUGUCCGAGUUGUAAUUUGGAGAGGAUACUUCGGGUGUGGCUACGGCGUAAGUCCCUUGGAACAGGGCGUCAUAGAGGGUGAGAAUCCCGUCUUAAGUCGUUUGUCCACGCCCAUGCGAAGUUCCUUCGACGAGUCGAGUUGUUUGGGAAUGCAGCUCUAAGUGGGUGGUAAAUUUCAUCUAAAGCUAAAUAUUGGCCGGAGACCGAUAGCGAACAAGUAGAGUGAUCGAAAGGUUAAAAGCACCUUGAAAAGGGAGUUAAAUAGCACGUGAAAUUGUUGAAAGGGAAGCGCUUGCAACCAGACUCGGUCACAGGGGCUCAGCGAGCAUGCGUGCUCGUGUACUCCCCUGUGUUCGGGCCAGCAUCAGUUCUGGCGGUUGGUUAAAGGCCCUUGGAAUGUAUCGUCCUCCGGGACGUCUUAUAGCCAAGGGUGUAAUGCGGCCAGCCGGGACUGAGGAACGCGCUUCGGCACGGAUGCUGGCGUAAUGGUUGUAAGCGACCCGUCUUUGAAACACGGACCAA